GAUGAAGAACGCAGCGAAAUGCGAUACUUGGUGUGAAUUGCAGAAUCCCGUGAACCAUCGAGUCUUUGAACGCAAGUUGCGCCCGAAGCCAUUAGGCCGAGGGCACGCCUGCCUGGGCGUCACACGUCGUUGCCCCCCCAUCUAAUCCUUCGGGAUUGCGGGGGGCGGAUGAUGGCCUCCCGUGCGCCUCGUCGCGCGGUUGGCAUAAAUGCCAAGUCCUCGGCGACGCACGCCACGACAAUCGGUGGUUGCGAAACCUCGGUUGCCCGUCGUGUGCGGUCGUCGCGCAUCGAGGGCUCGAAAAAAUUGCCGGGCUCCGGCUCGGCUUUCAACGCGACCCCAGGUCAGGCGGGGUUACCCGCUGAAUUUAAGCAUAUCAAUAAGCGGAGGA
rnacentral:misc_RNA from 1 species